GGCCUAUUCGUCUAGUGGUUAGGACGUUGUCUUUUCAAGUCAUUAAGGAGAGUUCGAUUCUCUCAUAGGCUACCA
rnacentral:tRNA from 1 species